GUUAUCUCACUUUAUUUUCCGUAGAUGAUUAUGAUAGGUUUCGAAUAAGACUAUUACUAUUCCUGCUGUGGAAGUAGAGCCGCCUGGAUACUCAUACAAUCCAUCAUCUGAAAGUCAUCAAGAUUCAUUGGCUCAAGCUGUUGCAGAUGAAAUGCAGAAAAUUUAUACGAAAGAAUUGCGUCCAAAACCUGUUCCUUUAAUUGUUGAAGGGGGAGUUAUUGAUGAGGAAGAUGUGGAACAGGACAUUCUAAAUCAGCGCUGAAGGUUUAAGAGGGAUUGGAAUCAAGCCAUGUGAAAAGCUAGAACUUUUUGCUGACAAUUCUUUUCGGUGGCUUAUUGAUGGAUUGCAUUUCGAUAGUAAUCGAUCCUUAAUAGUAAACUUAACAUCUGCAGUGCUUUUUUAUUAUAACUUAUCCAUAUCUAAUGCAUGAUUAUUUAUGUUUGUUCC
rnacentral:lncRNA from 1 species